AUAAAAAAUUCUGUUGCAAGUCUACACUCUAAGUACACCAGCACUACAUGACUUUUACUUGGUGGAAAGGUUUAUUUCUUGUUUGGGAACUGUUAAAUGUGUAAGGGACAGCUCAUCCAAACUUUUACAUUUGAUCAGUGGGGCCUGAGGCUGGACAACAAGCUGUGACACUUGUUUGAGAAAAUACAGCUGGCAUGGACUUACAUCUUGCAAUUGUGAUUCCCUCGUUGUGCGUAGCCCUGGCCCUGUGGAUUUUAUGUUGCUAUCUUGGAAGGAGGAGCAGAGAGGCAGAGGACUGGGCCCCGAGGCCCGCCGACCCUCAGUCUGUAUACAUCAUCCCCAUAUAUGGGGAGGAGCGGGAGGACGAGGAAGCAAUGGAUAUAUAUCAAGCAUGUUUUCAACCUAAUUACAGGGACCCGCCCAUGUACUGCUCAGGAAAUGUCAGCCCACCUCCUCCAUACAGGUUUGAACCACCAUCCUAUCAGGACCCACCACCAUCAUACACAGACCUCCUUCACCUCCCUCCUCCUUCACACCAAACCCACUGCUAGCCAGAGCGCGCUGCACCUUGUGUCACAGGGCAGGUCUACGGAAUCCAGCCAAGAGUCAAUAACACUUUUGACAUUGUGAAAUGAUGUUGGGAAAUAAUUUCAAAACACAUGGUUGUAGAUACGCCUCUGUGAAUCUGUCAGAACCGGCGAGUUAAGAUUGUGAAUGUGAUGUCAGAACAAAUUGAAUGCACAAAUAAUGUCAGCGGUGAGGUUACACAAUCAGGGCCAAAAGUUGCAAUUUAAAUGUACUUUUGUGAAUCCAUCCUCAGAUUCUCUAAAAGUCUUUGUGCAACUACACAGCUGAUAUUUUUCAAUGGGUCUCUUCCUUUUUGAUUCUUAUCCAAGCCCAUAGAGUAAGGUUUAAAGGUGCAGUAUGUAAGAUUUUCAGUUUAAAAAAACAAAAAAACAAACCCAGAUUAUCAAUAUAAGGUGAAGAAAUACAAGUUUUAAUGUCAUCUAAAUAUUGUGUCAAAGCACUACUAGGAAUGUUUUUGUGUUAAUGAGGCCGUCUCAUGAUUUCUCUGCUGUUACACGUCAAUUAUGAUCAUCAGACGAGACUGUCCACGAAAAGACUGCUGUUUUUAUAUAGUUAUCAUUAAUGCCUGUGCUCAGGUCCAAUCACAUACAUCACAAAUAAAUACAGUACCUCAUCGCGAUCCAUCCAGCGAUCUCUCCGUCACCUCGCUUCCAAAACAAAUGCACGCACCGCCGACACGCCCUAGCAAGGGUCUUUACAACAGCAGCCACUGGUGUCAUUCCGCUUUUGUCUAAAGGAGGCGCUGGAACCAACAAAAA